AUGAAAUGUAUAAUAGGAUGUAUAAACCUGCUAAGAAGAACAUGUACAACAAGAAGUCCUAUUACAAUGUCAGAACUUGUUGUGUUGAACUUUUUCAACAACUGGAACAACAUGUCAAAGAAGAUGUCUUCGACAUCGUGCCUGCUGAGAUGGAUUAACAAGAUUCAGUUUAUUCUUAACAGAGGCAGAAUAUUCGCGAGAAUAUUAUGCAUCCUAUGUGGCGCAUAUUUAAAGGUCUAG